rnacentral:rRNA from 1 species
CCUACGGGAGGCAGCAGUAGGGAAUCUUCCACAAUGGGCGCAAGCCUGAUGGAGCAACACCGCGUGAGUGAAGACGGGUUUCGGCUCGUAAAGCUCUGUUGUUGGAGAAGCACGUGCGUGAGAGUAACUGUUCACGCAGUGACGGUAUCCAACCAGAAAGUCACGGCUAACUACGUGCCAGCAGCCGCGGUAAUACGUAGGUGGCAAGCGUUAUCCGGAUUUAUUUGGCGUAAAGCGGGCGCAGGCGGUUGCUUAGGUCUAAUGUGAAAGCCUUCGGCUUAACCGAAGAAGUGCAUCGGAAACCGGGCAACUUGAGUGCAGAAGAGGACAGUGGAACUCCAGGUGUAGCGGUGGAAUGCGUAGAUAUAUGGAAGAACACCAGUGGCGAAGGCGGCUGUCUGGUCUGCAACUGACGCUGAGGCUCGAAAGCAUGGGUAGCGAACAGGAUUAGAUACCCGUGUAGUC